UUCUGCUUUUACCUUUUGAGCCUGGAAGAAUGGUUUUUCUGCCCUAAAAAAAGGGACAGGUUUCUCUGCAUGCCAUGGGUAGGAAUUAAAUGAUCCCUCGCUCUUCCAGAGAUGUGAACUUGGCCCAGGCAUCAACACUGGGAAGCCAGAAAAGAAAGAGCAGGAAAGCCAGCUCCCUCCCCAUGACAGAGGGCGAGGGCAAGAGACAGCCACCGAAGACUCUUGCGUAAUGUGUGAGACCCAUAUACACGUGCGUGUAUGUUCUCAUUUAACACCAGUGUACACACGUGCAUGCGUGCCCCGUACUCAAUCAAGUGAGCCGCCUCCCCGUGACCCCUCCCCACUCACUCAUCCAUUGCAAAGGGACAGGAGAAAAGCAAACAGCCAGAAAGGACACAGGUAGACAAGCCUGGGAAAGACAGCCCUCGGUGGGAUGUGGACACCCACCCGCCCGGCACGGGGACCCUGGUCCUGAGUCCCCAGAAGAAGGCGCCAGGGGUAGGAGCUUGUGGCUUUGAGCUAUGAAACCCCCUUCACCUCACAGUGGCUCUCUCUCCCCUUUCUUUCCCAGCUUUUCUCCCCAAGCAAACCAUCUCUUCUUAUACUAAACUUUGCCUUUUACAAAUUCUUACUGGCUCUGGGUUUAGGAUGGCUGGGGGCUGCAUUUCAGCAGAGCAGUGCCGUGGCGUGACAUGGCCUGGAGGGACAUGGCUUGGCGUGACAUGGCAUGGCGUGACACGGUGUGGUGAGCUGUCUGCACUGGACAUAACACAGGGGCUGGGCCAAGUGGUGAGUGCCCAGCACGAGUGGGCCCAUGCCCGUGCCGUGUGACUCACUGACAGAUCUGCUUCCGGAGGUCAGGUGACCCACAGGGAGGCUCCCUGGUGGCCUAGGUGAGGUGAGGUGGGCACCAAUGUCCAGGGAGGUGGCUGGGCCAGAGCAUAGGGAGGCGGGUGGUUCCAGAGUGAGGCUGAGCCCCAGUGGGCCUUGAGCAGGGGACAGUUACUCUGAUGUCAGCGUGACCCCGCCCACACGCAGAGACGGACUCAGGGCAGGGCCUGGGAAGGUGUGGCUGCCCAUCAGGAGGAGAAGGAGGAUGAUAAUUCCAAGUCAGAGCCAAAGCUGGGCGUGCAGACCCUGCAAGAGAGGCCCCUGCCCUGCUGCAUCUCUGGGGGUGGGCCCACAGAGCUUUCAGCAUUUAGGAGGGCGUGCGGGUGCCGGCCUGUGAUCCUAGCACCGAGGGAGGCUGAGGCAGGAGGAUCACAAGUUUGACUUCAUCCUGGGCAACAUAGUGACUUAUGGAGACCCUGUCCAUAAAUUAGGAGUCAGUCAGAAAUGCAGGGCUGGGGGCACAGCCGAGAGUGAAGGUGCUGGGUUUAGUACCCCUCCGGGAGGGAGGGAGAUGGAGGGUUGAAGGGGAGGGCGAGAGGGGGAGAGGUCUCAUGUUCUUGAACCCGUUUUCUGUUUCCUCCAGGGUCUGCAGUAGCCGCCGCCCGCAGCCAGCGGAAACCGCCUUGAGUAACCACUCCUGCCACGGCCACUUCCUCCCAUUGCCUCAGAAAGGAGUUGCACACGGUUUUCACCCCACGUGUUUGCAAAAGGGGGAACCUCACCGCAGCACCCCGGGCCGUUCCUCACAGCCGUGACCCGUGCACUAUGGGGACAGCACAGCUCCAGGACUGAGACCUCCAGCCAUGCACACAGAGCCAGCAGGGAGCCGGGCGUUGGACAGGCUUCAGCGUCAAAGGCGCCGUGGUUGGCCUGCAUUUACACCUGGCCGGAGGCCACAUGAGCUUUUGACAGGAUAACUGCCCUAGUGCCCGCUGGUGUGGGGUGGAGGCCAACCCAGGUGUUUUGGAUACUGAAGACCCACUGUUCUCUGGUGCCCGGGCGCUGUGAGCCUUUUCGCCCGCCUAAGUGGAGUGGGCCUUUUCUCCACCUUCAGUAAAUGGACACCCUCACGGUGGCCUUUUCUUCCUUC